CGGAGAGAAAAAGAUGCGUUUUCAAACGAAAACGUAUUAGUAUGGACUAGGCCUAAGAAGACCAGUUUAAAUAAUAUGCUAUCUCAAGCAUUUUUGUAUUUUACCUUCUAUAAUCACAACAGUUAAAAUUAAUCUGAUAAGCAUUGCAGGAUUUGACCUUCGGCCACCAUAACUUUUUUUUUGCUUCCUCAUCAUGAGACAGCUUCUGUAGUUGCAGGUUUCUCAGACUUUUCUAUCAAUUCACUUUCAAAACAGUAUAGUAGCUUUAAAUUUAGUAAGUAAUACAAAUAUAAUGAAAGGUCCAAUAAUCACACUACAAAGCAUAGUCACUUCCCACGAAAAUAAAUGGUGCAGCUUCAUAUUAAGUGUAGUUGGUGGUUGUGACAAGUUUAAGAUUGUGGGCAAUGGAGGAGUCAGGAGACAACGAAACAGGUUCAAGGUCAGUUCGUUUAAUGAAAGAACACACACACACACAGCCUUAUCUGGUCUCCCUCCGCCAUCACUAUAAUGAGAGCCAUGUGUUAGAUUAAUUACAGCCCAGGUGACCAGCCAAAAUCGCUUUCCCUCUCCCGCAGACAGAGACAUGACCACGCCCCCUCAUGCCACAGUGGUACAUAAUAGUAUACAUCAGGUAUAAUAAUGCUUGUAUGUGACCUUUAUGGAAGAGCAUUGCACAAACUAUUUCAGAUUUCAAACCCAUCUCACCCCAUCCACUCCUCCCCAGAACUAGUUUAAUAUGUCGCAAACUUUGUGGACUCUUGCUUCAGUUUCCUGUUUCCCUUAUCUUGUUUCACAAUCUUUGUAAAAUCGUUGUAAAAUCUUUGUAAUAUUGGAAACAACUUUGCACGGAAAAGCUCAGUCAGUCAUUUAUCACAUUACAAUAAUGUGAACAUGCAUAUUGUUUAUGUCCUGUGACUACUUUUGAAACAAAAAGAGGGACGAGUCAAAACUACUUUAUGUGGUAAUCAACAUUAUGCCACAAAUACUGUCUACUGAGCCUAACUUUUAUUGAACUUGGAAUAUUCCUAUACUAGUUUUAUCCUGUAUAAAGAACUCCUCUUGACGUGUUGACUAUAUGCAUGACAUGGAAACUAUAAGUGCUGUAGGGAAUCCUGUUGAGACCCCGCUCUUGAGGAAAGCCCCAUACCCCUUGGGAGCAUGGUGCCUUUCGGAGGACACCAGCUUGUCUAGACUACGCAGUUGCAAUCACAAUGGGCAUGCAAUUAGGCACAGUUGACAGAUGUUCUGUACCUGAUGCAACUGCAAUCUAAAAUAAGA